GCUAGAGAUGGUAACAGAGAAGGAUAAUAAGAGUCUUAACAAGUAAAGACAUAAUUUUUUUUCAAAUUCAUUUUGCGUCUGUUCACAUAAGGCCUCUCUCUAGUCAGAGAACAAAUCUAAACUAACAUGAGGCUUGUUAGCCAUUAGUUCUGCACUCUUAGAUUUGUCUGCAGAAAAUUAUUUCAAUAGCAACCAAAAGAGUGUUUGCAGACUUGUGGAACAAAAUUAUAUAACUUAUAGUCAUUUUCUGUGAGACAAUAAUGACAUUUUAAUUUAAAAAUGUACUCUGAUAUAAUUACCCUACAUCUUUAUAAGUCUGCCUCAGGAGCACAGUAAAAGAACAAAUGGCAAUAUUUUUACUGUACUGUGUGAUAAAAGGCUCUCAAAGUCUUUUUUAUAAAAUUUUGUGCAUGUUCAGGUGAUGGAAGCCUCAUAAAAGCAAAGUUUUUUCCUGAUUUUCUCUGAUCCAAAGGAAAUUUUAACCACAUAGAAGCAGAUUCCAAGGUGGGACUCACUCACACACCUGGGUGCCCUCUGCCCAGUAUGUGUUGGGAUAUCUCCCUCAGCUUCCACCUGCAGGUCCCAAAGGACAUGGGGUCUCCUAUGUGUUGUCUUCUAAGAGACCAUAUGCAGAGGGGUUCAGUGUUAAAAUUGUCACUGGGUGCUCCUGUUUAGACACCUGGAUUGCUUCCUCCAUGUCAGAGCCAAAUGUGUUUUCCUAAGAAAUUUUCCAGCUGAACUUUGAAAGGGCAGGAGGGAAGAAUAAAUGAUUCUUUGUUUCUCCUUGCCUUGGGUUGCUGCUCCUCUGCCAUCCUUUCAGGAGCAAGGUUUUUUUGCAAAGAAACCAGGCUGAAAUUGUUGCACAGAGCAAUUUUUAUUUAUAAUGCAGUCUACUCCCUCUGUGGAGCUGGAGGCACUGUUCAAAGUCAUAAUAAAUCUAAUGAAACAGGAUAAAUAAUUAAGCCCCUUGAACCCUAGCUGUAGAAUUAUGAGGUAGAAUGGUGAACAGAAAAUUAGAUUUUUGUGGUCUUUUCGUUGUUCAAGUUUCAUGUGAUUUUGAAAGCUGUAAAUAUUUUGGGGGAGUCUGUGAAGAGCAGGAGAAUGCCAAGGGUCAGAGGGACAAAAGUAACUCAAGCACCACAGGGAAAAGGGCAGGGGUGUCUGUCCCUUGGAUGGGAACCUGCUGAUCUGGGAUGCAGGGAGCAGUGCAGUGCAAAAGGCUGGCCCACCCCUCUCCAAACCAGCAGCCCCUGGAAUCAUGGUGGGAAAUAACUUAAAGAAACCCCAGGAUAAGAAUGUCUGGAAAGAUCAGCUCCUCUGGGAGAAAGACAAGGCCCUUCUGGAUGAGGAUAACAUUCUGUGGGAAGAAAAAGAAACUCUAGACAGAUAAAACAACUCUCCUGGAGAAGAUAAGGAGGAAUAUGAAGUAGCCUUAAGGAUUAUAAAAUGUCCAUCUUCCUGGAGGCCUUUGGUCCUGGGAGAGAAUAUCUCCACAGGGAAAAAGCAUUAAUUUUUCUGCUAGGCUCAGAAACAUGUGGCAAGCCAUGCAUACUGAAGUGUGUACUUUUUUUAAGUAGUGAUGAAUUUCAACCAGUUCUCUAAAAUAGUAUCUGUCAUCCUUGGUAUAAAUGGAGGGGUUUGAGUGUGGUUGUCUUUAAAGCCAUUGCACCCAGGUUUUCAGGACAUUAUUCAUUCUUUUGAGGUUCUGCAGCCUAAGGAAUGGGGUACACCUCUGGUUUCCUGGCCUGUCAACAGGACAUUUGUGGGUGGGUAAAACACCAGAAGGUGGGAACUUCAUGGCUGAGAUCAUCUGGAACUCAGAACAGCUCACCUAACUCAGUGCAGCACAUAUCAACUAAAUAAGACACUGAUAAAUGGUAGCAGUCAGAUCCCCAAUAUUUAAAGGUCACAGUUAACACUUGAGUCUUUUUGAGGCAACUUGUGCUGUCCCACCAGGUUUGGUGGAACAUUUAAUUUCCCACUGCUCUUGGGAGCAUGAUGGGAACAUUUACCCUCUUGGGUGAGCCUCCUUCAUCAGGUGCCUGUCUGAGCCUUGCUGCCAUGGGAAGAGGGCAGGGAAGAAGUGGGAAGGAUGACAGAAAUCAAGUAUGUGGAAAAGAUGCAAGCUGGAGGGAAAGUUGGCAGCAAAUCCUCAGCAAGAGGGAGGCAAAUGUAUCAGUUUGUGUAUAUUUGUGUGUGUAAAAGCAUGAGAGGGUGCACAAAGGGACUGGGAUUAUUAUUCCUCUGCUGAGCUCAUAUUGCCGUGCAGGCAGGAGCCUCUGACAGAAAAUCCUCAACAACUGUGACACAACACAUGGUCAAUAUUUAGCAAUAUCUAAUAAAAUAGUUUGGGCUGGAAGGAACCUGUAAAGUUCACCUAAAUUUCAACCCCUCUGCAAUGAGCAGAUCCCUGCCCAACCUGACCUUGAAUAUUUCCCGAGUUGGGGUAGCUACCACCCUUCUGGGCAACCUGUUCCACUGCCCCACCACUGUGGUUUUAUGGGAUGUGAGUACAGAACCAGAGCCUUCUGCCAAGAUUUAGCACAGCAACUGCAGCUUUUAUUUCUUCUUGAGAAACCAAACUCAGAUGUUUGAUGUUUUCAAAGGUUGAGCUGUACAGGCUGUUCUAGAGACAAAUCCCUAUUUGGCCGUCUGUACAUCCAGAAGGAACAUGGGGGACAAAAGCAACAGUGGAAAGUACCAAGUAUUGAAUUUUUCUCUGGGAUGGUAGCAUUAGUAGCUCAUUCUCCUUCUGUACAGGAUUUUAGCACUGAAUAGACUCAAGGACGCAAUGUAAGAAGUUAUUUGUAAUUGCUGUUAAAGAAUCUAAUACUUCUGUGACAGUCAGGCAGUCUUAGGCCAUCACUCAAGGCUGCCACUCAAGUUCAGUCCUUUGUGAUAUACUACAGGAUAAGGCUGCCAGUCCUGUUUAAUUUUGCUUAAGUUAAAUUAUGCACUAUGUCUUUCCUGUCAAAUCCAUGAAUAUUUAUUGUUCAAUGAAUAACCAGUCCAUAAAAAAAGCCAGCUGAUUCAGCUAGGGUAGGAAUGUUUUGCAACCUUGGUUAUUAUUAUUCUAUUAUUGCCAUGUAAGGCAGAGAUGAAAAUGACCUAUUAGACCAUUCAGUGCAACUUCCUACAAAUUCAGGACUCUUACGUGUUAGAGCUUUAUUAUCAGGUGUUACAGAGAAAAAGAGCCUCUCAGAAAAUAACAGUAUUCAAAAAGCGCCUGUCACUUAAUACAUUUUAAUGUCAAAAAGCUAAGAAUUUAUCUCAGUUAUUCAAAUGCACACGUCAAAUUAACAUCCAUUUAAACUAAAAUUAGGUGUGCUCUCUCUGGCAGAGAGCUUGAAGCACAUGAAAUGCUCUUAGGAGAGCUGCUAGUCACUUCUGUCACAGCAGAGCAGAGCAAUGCUUCCUUUUCUGGAGCUGUCGGUGACAAUACAACUGGUGAGAAGUUUAAGACAUUACACAGUACAGCACAGAGGAGCCAGAAGUUCAGCCAGAGAAAAGCAUAAACCUAUAUGGUUUUAGAUUGCUGGUAGCUCCCCCCAGAAUUUUACAUCCACCUGGUAGCUCCAGAGUGGCCUUUGCUUGGGUGGCAUGAGAGAGAGACCGCACCUGCUCUCUGUCCAGCAGCUCUGGACUGAGGAUGAAUUUCAGUCGUGAAGGAGAUCUCUGCUAACUCUCUCGAGUGGUAAAGUAAUGAGAGGAACAAAUAAAAUAACUCCCAUAUUAAAAAAAAAAAAGUGCACAGUUACAUUUAUCACCUCUGCAACAUGCACAGGGAGGCUGUCAAGAUGUGACAUUCAGAGUGAAAAACUACACCUCUCUUGGAAGAGCAAGUCUGCUGAUCUGGCACAGGUUGGCUGGAGGGACCAGAAAAAAAUUGUAGAUGUCUGAAGAACUGAAGAUGACUGAAGGAAGAACUCACCUAGAGGGGAAGGAUCUAAAGAAGUUGCCAAGCCCACCUGUGCCUCAAAAGCAGCUGUACCUGUAGUGCUCUGUGUAAACACUUCUCUAAGCCAUUUUUCUUAUUUAAUUCCCAGGACUGGUGUUUCACAACCAUCACUUUACCUCUAGGAUUUUAUUUAUAUUAAUAUAAUGUAGGGUUUGUUUUUUUUUUUAAGUUCUGCUCAAAGGAUUCACAGCAUGAUAUUUUCUGCUCCAUGCCACAACAAAAGUGGAAAUUAUGGACUGCAGCUUUGUUACACUAAAACCACAGAACAACCCAAAGCCCAAAGUAUUUUACAGAGGGAUGACAACUCCUGCAGAAAGCAAUAAAGAGAUUAAGUCAGUAGUGACAAAUCAGGUUAAAUAUUUGAAUGGGGGAAAGAAAUAGCUCCUGAGCUCACCUGCACAAUUUUGAAAUGCAGCAGUGUCAUCAGAAAGCAUUCCUGACACAGCCAUGGAGAUAACUUCGUGGGAGAGACAGAACAUGCAAAAUGGCAAGAAGUCAUUUAAGUCAACUGACACGUCUAAAUGUGUCACAAACCGGAAUGGUAAGAGUGACAGAAGAAAAUUAAAUUUAUUCAGUAUACAUGUGUGUAUAUUUAGCUGUAAUUAUCGACUCUAUGUGCCAAUCAUUGCAUAGGAGGAAUGUCAAAAACCUGUAAGGCAGUCCUGUGAAUCAUGGGAAACUGGGGGUAUGGAGCCCAUCCAGACACAUACAGAAAUUCUGCUGCUGUUCUUCCAGUAAUCCUGACUGAAUUGUUUAAAGUCAGUGCAGAGAAUUUCCACAGAAAUUAAAGAAAAAUAUAGAAUACAGUGACUGAAAAUUUCAGAUAGGAACAAAUAACCAUACUUGAAUCCUUCAGAAAUUAACAUCUAAUGUGGGUUAAAGAAGAACCAUGAGGAAACUGUAUUUUAAAAAUAAUUCCAUAAUGUUGCAAAUCUCUCUAUUUCUCCCUUUCUCUCCCUAUUUCUCCUCUCUUUUCUACUUUUUAAAAUAUUUUAUUUAUUGAUUGAGCUAAAAGUAUGAUCUGCAGAGAGAGAGGGAAUUAGAGAUUCUUGAUGUCUGGAGAUUUUUGACAGGGUUUUUGUUCUGAUCCAGUGAUUCACUCAAUCUAUGCAGUCCCUCAGAGGAUCCAAAAUCCCAUAUAAAUCCAUAUUCACAAUUAAAACUGGGAUUCUGCUAUUACUAGUUCAUGAGGUGCAUGAGAAGCAGACAAAGGGAGCACUCAGAGGAAGUGGUGAAUUUGAGCACAAGCACACCUCCCCUUGAUGACAUGGGCUUUUGUCCAAAAAAAAAAGACAAUGCAGAUUUCCACCCAGGAUCUUAAAAAACCACCAUGGCAGCCUGGAUGUGUACAGAUAAGCAGAAAUUUUAUCUUGGUUCUUCAGGUUUGCAAUACAUGACACAGAGCCACCAAGCAAGCAACCAGUUUCCCUGGGGUGCAAAUUGUCCUCUUCUUCUUCAAGAUUGCUGUGUGUGCACCACUCUGUGUGUGUUCACAGACACAAAGCAAGAGAGGAAAAGUGACCAGUCAGUGUGUGCAGAGCAGGCAAAGCGCUGUCACCUCCCUGCCCUGCCCCUGCUCUAUUAGAAGUGUUGUGUGAAUGACCAAGUGCAGGAGCCAUUCAGCCACGGAUUUACCAAAUCUCACCUUUAAGGCUGUGGAAACAGAUGCUGAAAAUGACGGAAGAGCUGAUGAGAAUGGGGAUGGUGAAGACGAUGUUGGGAAAACAGUCACACACGUCUGAAUCAGAGACCAAUAACCUGUCUGCUGGCAAGUUAUGUUUUUGUUCACUUGUUAUUAUGAAGCUAGAAGUUAGUUCUCUGAUAUUUAAUUUUUAUUUUAUGGGUGGAUUUUGCAUUUUUUUUUACAAACAACUCAGGCAAUCAGGAGAACAAAACAAGAUAGGGAUGAAGAGAGAGCUGAAAUGCAAAACACUCUUGUUUUGCUGGGGUCAGACACCACUCAGGUCACUUCACCUGUGCCUUAGCUCAGCUUUGUGUAAGUUGCAAUCAAAGUUUUCCUUGUAGAAGUGGCUUGAUGUUUAUUGCUGUAAAGCAACUCUAUCUUAGGGCUUAUAUAGGGCUUACAGUUAAUAACUGCACAGGGAGUUAUUUAACAACAUUAACAGCAAUGACAGUGUUAUCAAAUCAGUGGUGUGUUUUCCACAGAAUUCAACACUUUUCGAAGGAGGAAAAUAGUGAGGCUGCUUUGGGCUCAGCCUUGUUUUCUCAUCAUACCCUGCCCUCCCUGGCCUAAGAUCCUGGAACGAAACUUUCCAAGCAAAGUUGCUUUUCUUGUUACUUUAAAGACAUCUUGAGAGCAUACCUAUUUUUCUGCUUAUAUUUUUCCAGCCUGCUUGUUGUUUAAGCAAGAGGACCUUUUCCUACAGCUUAGUAUGUUCAGAAGGGAGAACUUUCUGCCAAAUUCCAUUUCCCCCCUUCUAUUAAGAUUGUAAAGUUGUUGGUGUAACCAUUAAUAAUUGAUCAAUGGUUUCCUUGGGGAAAGGAGUCCUGAUCUCUUUCAGUGCAGAGGUGCCACGUGAAACCUACCUUGGACUUGCAGGUUUUGGGGUGCUCCUGUCCCCAUCUGUAGGCUGUGGUGGGUGCUGGCCAGACCUUGGCACCCCUCUGAAUGACUGAGUAAAACCAUUACUCCAGUGAAGUGCCCUGGUGGCCUGAAAAUCCAGGUGCCCCCUCCCUAUAGAAGCAACCUUUAUGUCCUAAUUUCUCUCAACCCUGCACUAGGGUCACAACAACCCCUUGAAGUGCUAUAGGCUGGGGGAAGAGUGUCUGGAAAGAUACCCAGCAGAAAAGGACCUGGGGGUGCUGGUCAACAGCAGCUGAACAUGAGCCAGUUGUGCCCAGGUGGCCAAGAAGGCCAGUGGCAUCCUGGCCUGGAUCAGCCAUGUGGCCAGCAGAACCAGGGCAGGGAUUGUGCCCCUGUACUUGGCACUGGUGAAGCUGCACCUCAAAUCCCACAUCCUGUUCUGGGCCUCUCACAACAAGAAGGACACUGAGGUGCUGGAGCGUGUCCAGAGAAGAGCUUACACCUUACCUUGCACACACUGACUUUCUCAGCCCACCUUUCCCACCUGUAGGUACCUACACCAGGAGAGGCAGGUGAGUACAGGAAUCUUCCACCCAAAUUACACUUCCAUCAGCUUCUUAUGAGCUGCUGGUUUAAAAUUUCCCUUUGUAACAUGGCCUUGGCCAGAGUAGUGUUGGCCAGGUCCUCUUCACAGCCCAUGUUUGCCUCCCCCACAGACAUGAAGACAGCAGCACACUAUCCAAAAGCCUUGCCUACCUCUUGUUUAUCCCUAAGAUGAUGAUACACUUAAAAAGCUCCAUGGUCUGUAAAGAGAAUGAUCAAACAAAAGCUUCUGAGUAAGUUAGUUGUGGAACCAGUAUAUUGGCAGAUGUAUGAGGUUUUUAAAUCCUUCUGCCGUAGCAAGGAUAAAAUUCCCAACACAAAUGGCAACUCUGCAGCAAGAUUCUGACAUAAUUACUGUAAUUAUAUUGUCUCUGCACUCUCUUAUAAUCAUUGACAGUAUGUAUUUAAUGAGCCCUUUCCCGUUCAGCAGGUUGCUCCCAGCCGCUCAGAUUUACAACUGCAAUGCAGAGGUAUCUCAGAAUAAAAUUAACCCUUGGAAGCAAGGCCCCUUUCUGGGAGGAUGCUGGAGAGUCUCUCAGAGACUGGCACUGCCCACCCUUCCCUGCAUGGCUGGAACACACAGACAGGCUUCAGAGCUGGGCUGAUCUGCCUUGGAUCACUGUGUUGUUAGAAUGGGUCACAAAAUGAAUGCCAGACAACUACCUGACCUUUUUCAGCUACGUUGACCUUUAAUUCCUCUCUGUUCUGUUUGCAAAGUUUCCUGGUUCUGUCCAAUUCCCCAAGAUGAUUUGG